AAAGGAAUAGACGGGAGCCCGCACAAGCAGUGGAGUAUGUGGUUUAAUUCGACGCAACGCGAAGAACCUUACCAGGGCUUGACAUCCUAGGAAUCCGGAGUAAAGACCGGAGUGCCCUUCGGGGAAUCUAGAGACAGGUGGUGCAUGGUUGUCGUCAGCUCGUGUCGUGAGAUGUUGGGUUAAGUCCCGCAACGAGCGCAACCCUUACGGUUAGUUGCUACGCAAGAGCACUCUAACAGGACUGCCGUUGACAAAACGGAGGAAGGUGGGGAUGACGUCAAAUCAUCAUGCCCCUUACGCUCUGGGCUACACACGUACUACAAUGGCGCAAACAAAGGGGAGCAAAACCGCGAGGUGGAGCAAAUCCCAAAAAGGCGUCCCAGUUCAGAUUGCAGGCUGCAACUCGCCUGCAUGAAGUUGGAAUUGCUAGUAAUCGCGAAUCAGAAUGUCGCGGUGAAUACGUUCCCGGGCUUUGUACACACCGCCCGU
rnacentral:rRNA from 1 species